rnacentral:rRNA from 1 species
UGGGGAAUAUUGGACAAUGGGGGAAACCCUGAUCCAGCAAUGCCGCGUGAGUGAAGAAGGCCUUAGGGUUGUAAAGCUCUUUCGCCCGCGAAGAUAAUGACGGUAGCGGGAGAAGAAGCCCCGGCUAACUCCGUGCCAGCAGCCGCGGUAAUACGGAGGGGGCUAGCGUUGUUCGGAAUUACUGGGCGUAAAGCGUACGUAGGCGGAUGCGCAAGUUGGGGGUGGAAUCCCGGGGCUUAACCUCGGAAUUGCCCUCAAAACUGCACGUCUUGAGACCGAGAGAGGUAAGGGGAAUUCCUAGUGUAGAGGUGAAAUUCGUAGAUAUUAGGAAGAACACCAGUGGCGAAGGCGCCUUACUGGCUCGGUACUGACGCUGAGGUACGAAAGCGUGGGGAGCAAACA